UGGGGAAUUUUGCACAAUGGGGGAAACCCUGAUGCAGCGACGCCGCGUGAUUUAGAAGGCCUUCGGGUUGUAAAAAUCUUUUCUAUGGGAAGAAAAUGACAGUACCAUAGGAAUAAGGACCGGCUAAUUACGUGCCAGCAGCCGCGGUAAUACGUAAGGUCCGAGCGUUGUCCGGAAUCAUUGGGCGUAAAGGGUACGUAGGCGGGUAAGCAAGUUAGAAGUGAAAUCCUAUAGCUCAACUAUAGUAAGCUUUUAAAACUGCUCAUCUUGAGGUAUGGAAGGGAAAGUGGAAUUCCUAGUGUAGCGGUGAAAUGCGCAGAUAUUAGGAGGAAUACCGGUGGCAAAGGCGACUUUCUGGCCAUAACCUGACGCUGAGGUACGAAAGCGUGGGUAGCAAACAGG
rnacentral:rRNA from 2 species